AAGUCGCACGGACUGUUUCGGCAGUUAGUGGCGGACGGGUGAGUAACACGUAGGUGACCUACCCCAAAGUCUGGGACAACUAGGAGAAAUCUUAGCUAAUCCUGGAUGUGAACCUCAGCUGUGGCUGAUGUUUAAAGCUUCGGCGCUUUGGGAUGGGCCUGCGGCGCAUCAGGUAGUUGGUGGGGUAACGGCCCACCAAGCCGACGACGCGUAGCUGGUCUGAGAGGACGACCAGCCACAGGGGUACUGAGACACGGACCCCACUCCUACGGGAGGCAGCAGUUAGGAAUCUUCCGCAAUGGGCGAAAGCCUGACGGAGCGAUACCGCUUGAAGGACGAAGCCCUUCGGGGUGUAAACUUCUGAACUCGGGACGAUAAUGACGGUACCGAGGUAAUAGCACCGGCUAACUCCGUGCCAGCAGCCGCGGUAAUACGGAGGGUGCGAGCGUUACCCGGAUUUACUGGGUGUAAAGGGCGUGUAGGCGGUCUCUCAAGUCCGAUGCUAAAGACCGAAGCUCAACUUCGGGGGUGCGUUGGAUACUGUGAGGCUAGACGGUCGGAGAGGGUAGCGGA
rnacentral:rRNA from 1 species